CUCAAGUGAAAUUUCCAAGUUAUCUGAUGACUUAAGGAGCUUCAAUUUCUUUCCCGGGAACAUAUAAACAGCAAAUACGUUCACACCUUUGAUAGAUAUUGGAUUCUUUCCGCUCUUCCAUUCAAUAUCUUUAGGACUUGCCAAGCAGGUCACUGAGAGUGAAUGUUGGUUUGCACAUUUGUUUCUCCUGGACAGAGGGCACCAACCUCCUCCUUGACAAUUGAAGAGUCCCACCACUCCAGUAUACUGUUACAAAUCCCCAUAAAAAAAACAAAAUCACAAGUCAGUGAAAUUUAAGGGCACUAGUGCAAUAUCACAUAAUAAAAGACAGACAUUACAUUAUAGCUUACUUUGUUAAGGUUCCAAAUCUUGAGCAUGGUUUUACCAUCAUGCAAUGGAUCUUGAAAAAGGCAAUCUCUGGUAGGAAGUGCAUAAUACUGGCAGCGCAAAAUAGAGCCAUCAGGCAACACUAGCCUACUGAGCAAUUUGAGGUUGUGGUUGCCAACAGAAUCGCUCACAUACAUUGGUCCUCCAGAAAUGGCCCUCGAAGCAGCAUGAAAUUCAGCACAAGGGUGGGUUGAUUGGAACAUGUCCCAAUCUGGGUGUAUGAAAUUGCCCAUCCACAAGCUAUUAUAGGCACAAUGUACCAUGUGACACCCUUGUAGCCAAUAUGUCCCAUUUGGAUCUCCAGAUGGGUCAGUGCACCAAAAAUCAUCCCCUGCAAAAGGGUCAAAUUUAAUGAAUAUAUAAAUUUAUCUCAAGUUUCUUUUCUUCUAGAACAAGAAAUACUAAAGGCAUUACCAACUCGCCCAAGUGCUAUGGCCUCUGUUCCGAGGAACAUGAAGUCAUUACAAUGCUCCAUACUUGCAAUCACACCAUUUCCUCUGAAAUGUUUCCUUGUGGAAGCAGUUAAUGCUUUGUAAUAAGCUUUAGCAAGCUCUACUCUACCACCAAAUUCCUCUGAUAGCAUUUCCAACAACUGAAAGGAACCUAUUUCGUUAGAAUUUGAAAUAAAUGCAAGUAAAAUUCAGCUAAAUAUUCAUUUAAUUACUUAGAAUACGUACUCAAUCGCAGACAAUCUUGAGGAAUUAGGCCAUGGGACUUGAAUUACCACCACCUGAUCAUCAUAGCUAAACUGAACAUCUACACCGUCUAAUUUGCAAGCCACCGGCUUUUCUGAUGCAAAAACCUUCAUUUCUCCUCUUCCCUUAACCCCAAUUCUAACCAAAUUCUUAUCAUCAUCAAUAUCUAGUGACUGAAUUGCACCCCCGGAAUUAAGCAUGUUCACCAGUCCAAUAGGAGCAAACUGGAUUAAUUUUCCGAACAAUAUUGUCACAGGAGAAACUGUAAGCAGUUCAUAUUUAAAUGGCUCAAGUGAAAUUUCCAAGUUAUCUGAUGACUUAAGGAGCUUCAAUUUCUUUCCCGGGAACAUAUAAACAGCAAAUACGUUCACACCUUUGAUAGAUAUUGGAUUCUUUCCGCUCUUCCAUUCAAUAUCUUUAGGACUUGCCAAGCAGGUCACUGAGAGUGAAUGUUGGUUUGCACAUUUGUUUCUCCUGGACAGAGGGCACCAACCUCCUCCUUGACAAUUGAAGAGUCCCACCACUCCAGUAUACUGUUACAAAUCCCCAUAAAAAAAACAAAAUCACAAGUCAGUGAAAUUUAAGGGCACUAGUGCAAUAUCACAUAAUAAAAGACAGACAUUACAUUAUAGCUUACUUUGUUAAGGUUCCAAAUCUUGAGCAUGGUUUUACCAUCAUGCAAUGGAUCUUGAAAAAGGCAAUCUCUGGUAGGAAGUGC
rnacentral:lncRNA from 1 species